GUAUGGGGCAAGCGUUAUCCGGAUUCAUUGGGCGUAAAGAGCGCGUAGGCGGCUUGUUAAGUCAGAUGUGAAACCUGGGGGCUCAACCCGCAGCGUGCAUCUGAAACUGGCAGGCUUGAGUCUGGUAGAGGAAAGUGGAAUUCCUAGUGUAGCGGUGAAAUGCGCAGAUAUUAGGAGGAACACCAGUGGCGAAGGCGGCUUUCUGGGCCACGACUGACGCUGAGGCGCGAAAGCUAGGGGAGCAAACAGGAUUAGAUACCCUGGUAGUCCUAGCCGUAAACGAUGGGCACUAGGUGUGGGGGGUCAUCAACUCCCUCCGUGCCGCAGCUAACGCAUUAAGUGCCCCGCCUGGGGAGUACGGCCGCAAGGUUA
rnacentral:rRNA from 1 species